rnacentral:rRNA from 1 species
AUUGAACGCUGGCGGCAGGCCUAACACAUGCAAGUCGAACGAGUGGCGGACGGGUGAGGAAGGUCUGGGAAACGGCCUGAUGGAGGGGGAUAACUACUGGAAACGGUAGCUAAUAACGCCUACCAUCGGCUGUGCCCAGAUGGGAUUAGCUAGGGGGGGGGGUAACGGCUCACCUAGGCGACGAUCCCUAGCUGGUCUGAGAGGAUGACCAGCCACCCUGGAACUGAGACACGGUCCAGACUCCGACGGGAGGCAGCAGUGGGGAAUAUUGCACAAUGGGCGAAAGCCUGAUCCAGCCAUGCCGCGUGUGUGAAGAAGGUCUUCGGAUUGUAAAGCACUUUAAGUUGGGAGGCGUUACCAACAGAAUAAGCACCGGCUAACUUCGUGCCAGCAGCCGCGGUAAUAC